rnacentral:rRNA from 1 species
UGGGGAAAUUGCGCAAUGGGCGGAAGCCUGACGCAGCGACGCCGCGUGGGGGAUGACGGCCUUCGGGUUGUAAACCUCUUUCGCCAGGGACGAAGCGUGAGUGACGGUACCUGGAUAAGAAGCACCGGCCAACUACGUGCCAGCAGCCGCGGUAACACGUAGGGUGCGAGCGUUGUCCGGAAUUAUUGGGCGUAAAGAGCUCGUAGGCGGUCUGUCGCGUCGGUCGUGAAAACUUGGGGCUUAACCCUGAGCUUGCGGUCGAUACGGGCAUGACUGGAGUUCGGCAGGGGAGACUGGAAUUCCUGGUGUAGCGGUGAAAUGCGCAGAUAUCAGGAGGAACACCGGUGGCGAAGGCGGGUCUCUGGGCCGAUACUGACGCUGAGGAGCGAAAGCGUGGGGAGCGAACAGGAUUAGAUACCCUGGUAGUCCACGCCGUAAACGGUGGGCGCUAGGUGUGGGGGCCAUUCCACGGUCUCUGUGCCGCAGCUAACGCAUUAAGCGCCCCGCCUGGGGAGUACGGCCGCAAGGCUAAAACUCAAAUGAAUUGACGGGGUCAUAGCUG